GACUUGUCCAAAGGUAGUGAGUUAUCUCAACUGAUUGUUCAGUCAGUUACAGAUUGAACUCCUUGUUCUACUCUUUACCUAUUUCUCACUAUUGCACUUGACUAAUCUUUC
rnacentral:Y_RNA from 1 species